rnacentral:rRNA from 1 species
UACGUAGGGUGCAAGCGUUAAUCGGAAUUACUGGGCGUAAAGCGUGCGCAGGCGGUGAUGUAAGACCGAUGUGAGAUCCCCGGGCUUAACCUGGGAACUGCAUUGGUGACUGCAUUGCUAGAGUAUGGCAGAGGGGGGUGGAAUUCCACGUGUAGCAGUGAAAUGCGUAGAGAUGUGGAGGAACACCGAUGGCGAAGGCAGCCCCCUGGGCCAAUACUGACGCUCAUGCACGAAAGCGUGGGGAGCAAACGAGG